GUACGGGAGGCAGCAAUUAGGAAUCUUGCGCAAUGGGGGAAACCCUGACGCAGCGACGCCGCGUGAAGGAUGACGGCCUUCGGGUUGUAAACUUCUUUUAAGAGGGACGAAGAAUGUGACGGUACCUCUUGAAUAAGCCCCGGCUAACUACGUGCCAGCAGCCGCGGUAAUACGUAGGGGGCGAGCGUUGUCCGAAGUUACUGGGCGUAAAGCGCGCGUAGGCGGGCUCUUAAGUUGGAUGUGAAAUCUCCACGGCUCAACCGGGAAACUGCAUCCAAAACUGGUAGCCUUGAGGUAUGGAGAGGGAAGUGGAAUUCCUGGUGUAGCGGUGAAAUGCGUAGAUAUCAGGAGGAACACCCGUGGCGAAGGCGGCUUCCUGGCCAUAUCCUGACGCUGAGGUGCGAAAGCCAGGGGAGCGAACGGGAUUAGAUACCCUGGU
rnacentral:rRNA from 1 species